rnacentral:rRNA from 1 species
UACGAAGGGUGCAAGCGUUACUCGGAAUCACGUGGCGUAAAGCGUGCGUAGGCGGUUCGUUAAGUCUGCUGUGAAAGCCCUGGGCUCAACCUGGGAACUGCAGUGGAUACUGGCGGACUAGAGUGUGAUAGAGGAUGGUGGAAUUCCCGGUGUAGCGGUGAAAUGCGUAGAGAUCGGGAGGAACACCAGUGGCGAAGGCGGCCAUCUGGAUCAACACUGACGCUGAGGCACGAAAGCGUGGGGAGCAAACAGG